rnacentral:rRNA from 1 species
GACGAGGUGGACAAACGUUAUUCGGAUUUACUGGGCUUAAAGCGUGCGUAGGCGGCCCAGAAAGUUGGGUGUGAAAGCCCUCGGCUCAACCGAGGAAUUGCGCUCAAAACUACUGAGCUUGAGUGAGAUAGGGAAGAGCGGAACUGAUGGUGGAGCGGUGAAAUGCGUUGAUAUCAUCAGGAACACCGGUGGCGAAGGCGGCUCUCUGGAUCUUUUCUGACGCUGAGGCACGAAAGCUAGGGGAGCAAACGGG